CGGGUGAGUAACGCGUGGGUAACCUGCCCCAUACCGGGGGAUAACGGUUAGAAAUGACCGCUAAUACCGCUUAAGCGCGCGAGGCCGCAUGGCCGCGCGCGAAAAACUCCGGUGGUAUGGGAUGGGCCCGCGUCUGAUUAGGUAGUUGGCGGGGUAAGGGCCCACCAAGCCGACGAUCAGUAGCCGACCUGAGAGGGUGGCCGGCCACAUUGGGACUGAGACACGGCCCAAACUCCUACGGGAGGCAGCAGUGGGGAAUAUUGCGCAAUGGGGGAAACCCUGACGCAGCAACGCCGCGUGAGUGAGGAAGUAUCUCGGUAUGUAAAGCUCUAUCAGCGGGGAAGAAAGAGGACGGUACCCGACUAAGAAGCCCCGGCUAACUACGUGCCAGCAGCCGCGGUAAUACGUAGGGGGCGAGCGUUAUCCGGAUUUACUGGGUGUAAAGGGAGCGUAGACGGCGUCGCAAGUCUGAAGUGAAAGCCCGUGGCUCAACCGCGGAACCGCUUUGGAAACUGCGAGGCUGGAGUGCUGGAGAGGUAAGCGGAAUUCCUGGUGUAGCGGUGAAAUGCGUAGAUAUCAGGAGGAACACCGGUGGCGAAGGCGGCUUACUGGACAGUGACUGACGUUGAGGCUCGAAAGCGUGGGGAGCGAAC
rnacentral:rRNA from 1 species